rnacentral:tRNA from 1 species
GCCCGGUUAGCAUAGCGGUAGUGCGUCAGACUUCUAAUCUGAAGGUCGCGGGUUCGAUCCCCGCAUUGGGUU